CGGGCUUAAAUGUAGUCUGACAGGCGUGGAAACAUGCUUUUCUUCGGACAGAUUCAAGGUGCUGCAUGGUUGUCGUCAGCUCGUGCCGUGAGGUGUCAGGUUAAGUCCUAUAACCGAGCGCAACCCCUGUUGUUAGUUGCCAGCGAGUAAUGUCGGGAACUCUAGCAAGACUGCCGGUGCAAACCGUGAGGAAGGUGGGGAUGACGUCAAAUCAUCACGGCCCUUACGUCCUGGGCCACACACGUGCUACAAUGGCCAGUACAGAGAGCAGCCACUUGGCGACAAGGAGCGAAUCUAUAAAGCUGGUCACAGUUCGGAUUGGAGUCUGCAACUCGACUCUAUGAAGCUGGAAUCGCUAGUAAUCGGAUAUCAGCCAUGAUCCGGUGAAUACGUUCCCGGGCCUUGUACACACCGCCCGUCAAGCCAUGGAAGCUGGGGGUACCUGAAGUCGGUGACCGCAAGGAGCUGCCUAGGGUAAAACUAGUAACUGGGGCUAAGUCGUAACAAGGUAAGCGUAGUGCU
rnacentral:rRNA from 1 species